rnacentral:rRNA from 1 species
GAAUUCACUAGUGAUUCAGGCCUAACACAUGCAAGUCGAGCGGUAGAGAGAAGCUUGCUUCUCUUGAGAGCGGCGGACGGGUGAGUAAUGCCUAGGAAUCUGCCUGGUAGUGGGGGAUAACGUUCGGAAACGGACGCUAAUACCGCAUACGUCCUACGGGAGAAAGCAGGGGACCUUCGGGCCUUGCGCUAUCAGAUGAGCCUAGGUCGGAUUAGCUAGUUGGUGAGGUAAUGGCUCACCAAGGCGACGAUCCGUAACUGGUCUGAGAGGAUGAUCAGUCACACUGGAACUGAGACACGGUCCAGACUCCUACGGGAGGCAGCAGUGGGGAAUAUUGGACAAUGGGCGAAAGCCUGAUCCAGCCAUGCCGCGUGUGUGAAGAAGGUCUUCGGAUUGUAAAGCAAUGUAAGUUGGGAGGAAGGGCAGUUACCUAAUACGUGAUGUUUUGACGUACCGACAGA